AGAAGAGUAAAACUGCUGCCUCAAAGCACCGCUCAUUAACCCCCAAGAGUGUGUCAGGAAAAAAACGGAAGACUCCACAAAAAACAGCAACAUCGGUACAAGAUUUGGAGGCUUCUGAAAAGGAUGGAUCUUCAGAACUUGAAGAAGCUGAAG